rnacentral:lncRNA from 1 species
GUGUGUAAAAAAAAGUAUUUUAUUUUGUUAUUAUAUUUUUUUAAUAUAUUAAAGAGUAAAAUGGUAACACUACUUUUUUUUAAUAUAUUCAGACUAAUUAAAAAAUAUCAAAAAAUUAUAAAACCAUCGAAAUCAAUCCCAAAAUCAAUUGAUCCAAAAAAGACCCUUUCAUUCCAGCGAAGGAUUGCGAUCUGUGAAAAAAGCCCCAAAAAAUUGCUCAACCCCAAUACAUUCAUUAUGUUUGGGUCGUUGAUUUGUAGCGAUCUGGUUUUUCGGUGGGUUUAGGGUUGUUGUAGGUGUCUAAUACCUCCUCCCUUUUCUAUCGCCGGUGUGUCGGAUAACAUUCUUUCGAUCUUCUAGUGUCUGCUAUGUUCUAUUCAGAUGAAUUGGGGCUGUGGGUAAAAUUUAUUUUAGCUGUAUUAGGACCCUUGUUCAUUCGUGGAUCUGUUCUCGUUUUUUUUAUCAGAUUUGACUCCACGAUCUGGUUGGAUAAUGGGUGUUUGUGCUAUCACCGGAAUCUGAUUCGAACUACCAUCAUCUCUUACCUCCAACAUCGCCGUUAGGCCCACCCAUCCUCUGUUCGAGCUUGAAUCUGAUAGGUGGUGAUUUUGGUUGCUCUGGUUUGGUGGUUGGUUGUUGUAGUUGAUUGAUUUGGUGUAACAUUAAAUGCAUAUAGAUCGCAUAGGUAUCAGUUCCAUGUAGAAACCAUUUUUUGGGUGUUUAGACCACGGGGGAGAGAGAUUGCAAAAUUUCUAGAGAGAGAAAGAGGGGUUUGGGAGAGAGAAAAAUAGGGAGAGAGAUGCUUGCAAGUCUUUACUCGCUCUGAUUUUUAGCUGGAAGGGAUAACCCAUGUAGAAACCAUUUUCAGGUAUGGAUGCUUGCAAGUCUUCACCUUCUUCGCCUAGUUCCCCUCCAUCCAGAUUGAAAAGAGCCAACUCCAAGGGUCACAAUGUAUCUUUCAAGAACUGACAUGGAUUAUGUAUGAAUUAGCUCUAUGUUUCUCUGUUUGUAUAUGAAACCUCUUUACUCACUCUGAUUUUUAGCUAGAAGGGAUAACCCAUUUAAAUUGUUAAAGUUAAUUGCUUAUUUUUUCCUUUCUUGUAUGUAUAUAUGGGGUUGAGAUCCUACAUACAGGAGAUAGGAUUGUUGAAGCUUGAUGCUCUGAUCUCGCUUGUCCUGAACCCACCAAAAUCAAGAAUGACCUCUUUUUAAGUUUAGAGUACUGAUGGAGCAUUUUAGGGUGAUUUGCUUUUCUCAGACCUUCUUCGCGGGAUCGUUGAGCAAUUUGUGAUUCUUAAAGUUAGGGUUUUUUCGAUCUGACUUUGAGGCUUGCUUUCUCAGAAGUCAGACCUUCUUUACUUUUGAUCGAUUGUUGUUGUUUUUGAAGCUUUUGAUUUGUUUAAUUUUAAUUAAUGUAUGUGUUGUGACUAUUUUACCCUCUAUUAUAUCAAAAUUAUUUAAUUAAUAAAUAAAAUAUUAAUUUCUCAUUACAACUCAGUCGACUAAGGCCCCACACAAUUAGUCACGUCAGCAAUUUCUGACGUGACAUAUUUAAUUUGUUGCAAUUGGAAAAAAAUGAUAGUUUAAUCAUCUAAUUGACAAAAUUGAAAGGUGGAUCACCGAAGUGGAAUAUGACCAAUAGUUUAG